CAACCUCAACUCAUAUGGGACUACCCCCUGAAUUUAAGCAUAUUAAUUAGGGGAGGAAAAGAAACUAACAAGGAUUUUCUUAGUAGCGGCGAGCGAAAAGAAAACAGUUCAGCACUAAGUCACUUUGUCUAUAUGGCAAAUGUGAGAUGCAGUGUAUGGAGCGUCAAUAUUCUAGUAUGAGAAAUUAAUGAUUUAAGUCCUUCUUAAAUGAGGCCAUUUACCCAUAGAGGGUGCCAGGCCCGUAUAACGUUAAUGAUUACUAGAUGAUGUUUCCAAAGAGUCGUGUUGCUUGAUAGUGCAGCACUAAGUGGGUGGUAAACUCCAUCUAAAACUAAAUAUAACCAUGAGACCGAUAGUAAACAAGUACCGUGAGGGAAAGUUGAAAAGAACUCUGAAUAGAGAGUUAAACAGUACGUGAAACUGCUUAGAGGUUAAGCCCGAUGAACCUGAAUAUCCGUUAUGGAAAAUUCAUCAUUAAAAUUGUAAUAUUUAAAUAAUAUUAUUAAGAAUAAUGUGCAUUUUUUCCAUAUAAGGACAUUGUAAUCUAUUAGCAUAUCCCAAAUUUAUCAUAAAAUAUAACUUAUAGUUUAUUCCAAUUAAAUUGCUUGCAUUUUAACACAGAAUAAAUGUUAUUAAUUUGAUAAAGUGCUGAUAGAUUUAUAUUAUUACAGAGCGUUAAUUUUUCGGAAUUAUAUAAUGGCAUAAUUAUCAUUGAUUUUUGUGUUUAUUAUAUGCUCUUGUAUGAUUAACAAUGCGAAAGAUUCAGGAUACCUUCGGGACCCGUCUUGAAACACGGACCAAGGAGUCUAACAUAUGUGCAAGUUAUUGGGAUGUAAACCUAAUAGCGUAAUUAACUUGACUAAUAAUGGGAUUAGUUUUUUAGCUAUUUAUAGCUAAUUAACACAAUCCCGGGGCGUUCUAUAUAGUUAUGUAUAAUGUAUAUUUAUAUUAUUUAUGCCUCUAACUGGAACGUACCUUGAGCAUAUAUGCUGUGACCCGAAAGAUGGUGAACUAUACUUGAUCAGGUUGAAGUCAGGGGAAACCCUGAUGGAAGACCGAAACAGUUCUGACGUGCAAAUCGAUUGUCAGAAUUGAGUAUAGGGGCGAAAGACCAAUCGAACCAUCUAGUAGCUGGUUCCUUCCGAAGUUUCCCUCAGGAUAGCUGGUGCAUUUUAAUAUUAUAUAAAAUAAUCUUAUCUGGUAAAGCGAAUGAUUAGAGGCCUUAGGGUCGAAACGAUCUUAACCUAUUCUCAAACUUUAAAUGGGUAAGAACCUUAACUUUCUUGAUAUGAAGUUCAAGGUUAUGAUAUAAUGUGCCCAGUGGGCCACUUUUGGUAAGCAGAACUGGCGCUGUGGGAUGAACCAAACGUAAUGUUACGGUGCCCAAAUUAACAACUCAUGCAGAUACCAUGAAAGGCGUUGGUUGCUUAAAACAGCAGGACGGUGAUCAUGGAAGUCGAAAUCCGCUAAGGAGUGUGUAACAACUCACCUGCCGAAGCAACUAGCCCUUAAAAUGGAUGGCGCUUAAGUUGUAUACCUAUACAUUACCGCUAAAGUAGAUGAUUUAUAUUACUUGUGAUAUAAAUUUUGAAACUUUAGUGAGUAGGAAGGUACAAUGGUAUGCGUAGAAGUGUUUGGCGUAAGCCUGCAUGGAGCUGCCAUUGGUACAGAUCUUGGUGGUAGUAGCAAAUAAUCGAAUGAGACCUUGGAGGACUGAAGUGGAGAAGGGUUUCGUGUGAACAGUGGUUGAUCACGAGUUAGUCGGUCCUAAGUUCAAGGCGAAAGCCGAAAAUUUUCAAGUAAAACAAAAAUGCCUAACUAUAUAAACAAAGCGAAUAUAAUACACUUGAAUAAUUUUGAACGAAAGGGAAUACGGUUCCAAUUCCGUAACCUGUUGAGUAUCCGUUUGUUAUUAAAUAUGGGCCUCGUGCUCAUCCUGGCAACAGGAACGACCAUAAAGAAGCCGUCGAGAGAUAUCGGAAGAGUUUUCUUUUCUGUUUUAUAGCCGUACUACCAUGGAAGUCUUUCGCAGAGAGAUAUGGUAGAUGGGCUAGAAGAGCAUGACAUAUACUGUUGUGUCGAUAUUUUCUCCUCGGACCUUGAAAAUUUAUGGUGGGGACACGCAAACUUCUCAACAGGCCGUACCAAUAUCCGCAGCUGGUCUCCAAGGUGAAGAGUCUCUAGUCGAUAGAAUAAUGUAGGUAAGGGAAGUCGGCAAAUUAGAUCCGUAACUUCGGGAUAAGGAUUGGCUCUGAAGAUUGAGAUAGUCGGGCUUGAUUGGGAAACAAUAACAUGGUUUAUGUGCUCGUUCUGGGUAAAUAGAGUUUCUAGCAUUUAUGUUAGUUACUUGUUCCCCGGAUAGUUUAGUUACGUAGCCAAUUGUGGAACUUUCUUGCUAAAAUUUUUAAGAAUACUAUUUGGGUUAAACCAAUUAGUUCUUAUCAAUUAUAACGAUUAUCAAUUAACAAUCAAUUCAGAACUGGCACGGACUUGGGGAAUGCCAAAUGCCUCGUCAUCUAAUUAGUGACGCGCAUGAAUGGAUUAACGAGAUUCCUACUGUCCCUAUCUACUAUCUAGCGAAACCACAGCCAAGGGAACGGGCUUGGAAUAAUUAGCGGGGAAAGAAGACCCUUUUGAGCUUGACUCUAAUCUGGCAGUGUAAGGAGACAUAAGAGGUGUAGAAUAAGUGGGAGAUAUUAGACCUCGGUUUGGUAUCGUCAAUGAAAUACCACUACUCUUAUUGUUUCCUUACUUACUUGAUUAAAUGGAACGUGUAUCAUUUCCUAGCCAUUAUACGGAUAUAUUUAUUAUAUCUUAUGGUAUUGGGUUUUGAUGCAAGCUUCUUGAUCAAAGUAUCACGAGUUUGUUAUAUAAUCGCAAACAAAUUCUUUAAUAAAACGAUGCAUUUAUGUAUUUUUGAUUUGAAAAUUUGGUAUAACUCCAAUUACUCAGGUAUGAUCCAAUUCAAGGACAUUGCCAGGUAGGGAGUUUGACUGGGGCGGUACAUCUCUCAAAUAAUAACGGAGGUGUCCCAAGGCCAGCUCAGUGCGGACAGAAACCACACAUAGAGCAAAAGGGCAAAUGCUGACUUGAUCUCGGUGUUCAGUACACACAGGGACAGCAAAAGCUCGGCCUAUCGAUCCUUUUGGUUUAAAGAGUUUUUAACAAGAGGUGUCAGAAAAGUUACCAUAGGGAUAACUGGCUUGUGGCGGCCAAGCGUUCAUAGCGACGUCGCUUUUUGAUCCUUCGAUGUCGGCUCUUCCUAUCAUUGUGAAGCAAAAUUCACCAAGCGUUGGAUUGUUCACCCAUGCAAGGGAACGUGAGCUGGGUUUAGACCGUCGUGAGACAGGUUAGUUUUACCCUACUAAUGACAAAACGUUGUUGCGACAGCAUUCCUGCGUAGUACGAGAGGAACCGCAGGUACGGACCAAUGGCACAAUACUUGUUCGAGCGAACAGUGGUAUGACGCUACGUCCGUUGGAUUAUGCCUGAACGCCUCUAAGGUCGUAUCCGUGCUGGACUGCAAUGAUAAAUAAGGGGCAAUUUGCAUUGUAUGGCUUCUAAACCAUUUAAAGUUUAUAAUUUAUUUUAUAAACGACAAUGGAUGUGAUGCCAAUGUAAUUUGUAACAUAGUAAAUUAGGAGGAUCUUCGAUCACCUGAUGCCGCGCUAGUUACAUAUAAAAGCAUUAUUUAAUACAAUGACAAAGCCUAGAAUCAAUUGUAAACGACUUUUGUAACAGGCAAGGUGUUGUAAGUGGUUGAGCAGCUGCCAUACUGCGAUCCACUGAAGCUUAUCCUUUGCUUGAUGAUUCGA